UACGGAGGGGGCUAGCGUUGUUCGGAAUUACUGGGCGUAAAGGGCGCGUAGGCGGCGAACCAAGUCAGGCGUGAAAGGCCUGGGCUCAACCCGGGAACUGCGCUUGAUACUGGCUUGCUUGAGUGCGGGAGAGGAUGGCGGAAUUCCCAGUGUAGAGGUGAAAUUCGUAGAUAUUGGGAAGAACACCAGUGGCGAAGGCGGCCAUCUGGCCCGGCACUGACGCUGAGGCGCGAAAGCGUGGGGAGCAAACAGG
rnacentral:rRNA from 1 species